rnacentral:rRNA from 1 species
UACAGAGGGUGCAAACGUUGUUCGGAAUUACUGGGCGUAAAGCGCGUGUAGGCUGCUUGGCAAGUCGGAUGUGAAAGCCCUGGGCUCAACCCAGGAAGUGCACUCGAAACUUCCGAGCUCGAGUUCUGGAGAGGAUAGCGGAAUUCUCGGUGUAGAGGUGAAAUUCGUAGAUAUCGAGAGGAACACCGGUGGCGAAGGCGGCUAUCUGGACAGAAACUGACGCUGAGACGCGAAAGCGUGGGGAGCAAACAGG